ACCCAUAAGCAAUACUAUACAUGACACGGCUUUAUGGACACCCCAUGACACUGAAACCUAAGCUCUGAUACCAACUUGACACGACCCGAACUAGGGCCUUGUCGUAAUAGGCAAUCCCAAGCCCAACCAGUACUGAGAACCGCCCCUGUUUGCCAACCCAACCACCAAAUGCAUACCUUGAGUUGGCUAAAGUCUGAACAUAUAACA
rnacentral:lncRNA from 1 species